rnacentral:rRNA from 1 species
GUCGAGAAUCUUUCACAAUGGGGGCAACCCUGAUGGAGCGACGCCGCGUGGAGGAUAAGGUCUUCGGAUUGUAAACUCCUGUCAUGCGUGAACAAGGUUGCUUGGUUAAUACCUGGGCAAAUUGAUGGUAACGCAAGAGGAAGAGACGGCUAACUCUGUGCCAGCAGCCGCGGUAAUACAGAGGUCUCAAGCGUUGUUCGGAAUCACUGGGCGUAAAGGGUGCGUAGGUGGCGUGGUAAGUCAGAUGUGAAAGCCCGGGGCUCAACCUCGGAACUGCAUCCGAUACGGCCAUGCUAGAGUACUGGAGAGGUGACUAGAAUUCUCGGUGUAGCAGUGAAAUGCGUAGAUAUCGAGAGGAAUACCAAAGGCGUAGGCAGGUCACUGGACAGUUACUGACACUGAGGCACGAAGGCCAGGGGAGCGAACGGGAUUAGAUACCCUAGUAGUCC